UGCGGGGUAGAGCAGUUGGAAGCUCGCCAGCCUCAUAAGCUGGAGGUCGCCGGUUCAAGUCCGGCCCCUGCUA
rnacentral:tRNA from 1 species